rnacentral:rRNA from 1 species
GAACGGAAAGGCCCUGCUUUUGUGGGGUGCUCGAGUGGCGAACGGGUGAGUAACACGUGAGUAACCUGCCCUUGACUUUGGGAUAACUUCAGGAAACUGGGGCUAAUACCGGAUAGGAGCUCCUGCUGCAUGGUGGGGGUUGGAAAGUUUCGGCGGUUGGGGAUGGACUCGCGGCUUAUCAGCUUGUUGGUGGGGUAGUGGCUUACCAAGGCUUUGACGGGUAGCCGGCCUGAGAGGGUGACCGGCCACAUUGGGACUGAGAUACGGCCCAGACUCCUACGGGAGGCAGCGGUGGGGAAUAUUGCACAAUGGGCGGAAGCCUGAUGCAGCAACGCCGCGUGCGGGAUGACGGCCUUCGGGUUGUAAACCGCUUUCGCCUGUGACGAAGCGUGAGUGACGGUAAUGGGUAAAGAAGCACCGGCUAACUACGUGCCAGCAGCCGCGGUAAU